rnacentral:rRNA from 1 species
UACAGAGGGGGCAAGCGUUGUUCGGAAUUACUGGGCGUAAAGGGCGCGUAGGCGGCCUGUUAAGUCGAACGUGAAAUCCCCGGGCUCAACCCGGGAACUGCGUCCGAUACUGGCAGGCUUGAAUCCGGGAGAGGGAUGCGGAAUUCCAGGUGUAGCGGUGAAAUGCGUAGAUAUCAAGCGGAACACCGGUGGCGAAGGCGGCAUCCUGGACCGACACUGACGCUGAUGCGCGAAAGCCAGGGGAGCAAACAGG